AGCGAACGCUGGCGGCAUGCCUAACACAUGCAAGUCUGACGGGCCUGGGGCUUGCUCCGGGUCAGUGGCGGACGGGUGAGGAACGCGUAGGAACGUAUCCAAGGGUGGGGGAUAACCGCGGGAAACUGCGGCUAAUACCGCAUGGGGCCGCGGGGAGACCUGGGGCCAAAGGCUGGGCAACCAGUCGCCGAUGGAGCGGCCUGCGUCCGAUUAGCUAGUUGGUGGGGUGACGGCUUACCAAGGCUACGAUCGGUAGCUGGUCUGAGAGGAUGAUCAGCCACACUGGGACUGAGACACGGCCCAGACUCCUACGGGAGGCAGCAGUGGGGAGUAUUGGACAAUGGGCGAAAGCCUGAUCCAGCAAUGCCGCGUGGGUGAAGAAGGUCUUCGGAUUGUAAAGCCCUUUCGGGCGGGGACGAUGAUGACGUACCCGCAGAAGAACGCCCCGGCUAACUUCGUGCCAGCAGCCGCCGCCGUAAU
rnacentral:rRNA from 1 species